GUGGGGAAUUUUGGACAAUGGGCGAAAGCCUGAUCCAGCCAUGCCGCGUGCAGGAUGAAGGCCUUCGGGUUGUAAACUGCUUUUGUACGGAACGAAAAGACUCCUUCUAAUAAAGGGGGUCCAUGACGGUACCGUAAGAAUAAGCACCGGCUAACUACGUGCCAGCAGCCGCGGUAAUACGUAGGGUGCAAGCGUUAAUCGGAAUUGCUGGGCGUAAAGCGUGCGCAGGCGGUUAUAUAAGACAGAUGUGAAAUCCCCGGGCUCAACCUGGGAACUGCAUUUGUGACUGUAUAGCUAGAGUACGGUAGAGGGGGAUGGAAUUCCGCGUGUAGCAGUGAAAUGCGUAGAUAUGCGGAGGAACACCGAUGGCGAAGGCAAUCCCCUGGACCUGUACUGACGCUCAUGCACGAAAGCGUGGGGAGCAAACAGGAUUAGAUACCCUGGUAGUCC
rnacentral:rRNA from 1 species